rnacentral:lncRNA from 1 species
GUUAAAAUAAGCAGUUCUUCUAAUCAUGGAUCAACACCCAGUUUUAUAUUGGACUUUUAUCUCAGUCCCCAAAGACUGGAGAGGGGCGAAAGGCUCAAAGAGUCCUUAUGGAGAUUAUGUGACGUUCCCUACAGAAUGAGCAUCUGUAGCUAAGAAUCACGAAGAGUCAGCAUCCAGCCAGAGCACAGACAGGAGCCAAGAAUAACUGUCAUCAUAGAGGUUUCACCUCGCAACUGAUGACUGAUGGAAACAGAAGCAGAGACUCACAGCCAAACAUUAAGUGGAGCUUGGGGAAUCCUGUGGAAGAAGGGAAGAAGGACUGAAGGAGCCAGAAGGGCCAAGGACAUCAUCAGAAAACCUACAGAAUCAACUAACCUGGGCACAAAGGAGUUCAGAGAGACUGAACUGGCAACCAGAGAGCAUGCAUGGGAUGGACCUAGGCCCUCCACACAUAUGUAACCGUCUUGCAGCUUGGUUUUCAUGUAAGACUCCUAAAGUGGGAGCAGGGGCUGUCUCUGACUGUGUUGCCUACAUUUGGGUCCCUUUCCCUUAACCAGGCUGCCUUGUUUAUCCUCAAUAGGAGAUGAGUCUCGCCUUACUGCAACUUGAUAUGCCAGAGCUGUUGGUAUCUAUGGGAGUCCUCCUUUUCAGAGUAGAGGAGGAGAGGUGGCAGGUAGGGAGGGGAGGGGAGAGGGAGGGACUUGGAGGAGAGGAGGGAGAGAAAUCUGCAAUGGAGAUGUAAAGUAAAUAAAUAUGGCAGUUAAUUAAAAAGGAAAGCAACUCUGUAACUUAAGACACCCAAAUGGUGCACUUGGUUGAUGCCAGGAUACUGAAUUGCUUUUCUCCCUUCAGAAGCCCAGACCUUGGGUAUAUUUUCCUCUUUCCUUUUCUCUUAGACCCUGUGCUUUAAAGAUCUUCAUCAGCAGUGUCCAGUACUACACUGGCUCCUCUCCUCAAAAGCCCAUGCCUUUACUGUAUUUACUCCUUUUGUAAGCAUUUUCCUACCUGUUUUCUAAUAAAAUCCCAGCUUGGCUUCAUACUGAUUAGUCCUGAAAUUCUUUUCUGAACUGAAGCCACGGAUCUCAGUUUGUCUCCGUCAAGAUCCCUAAAUGACUAAAGGAAUCCCACAAAGUUGAGGGUGGCAGUGUGGGGCUGUGACUUUGUCCCCUUGCUGAUGACAGACCCUCUGAGAUACAAAAGAAUAGAAUAGAUUGCUUUGAAAGGAAUGUGAGUGUUUGUUGGGACAGCUGUUAAAACCUCUGUCUUCUUAUUUCACUUCUUAGUGGCUGGGUGAGUUGGGGCCUUGCCAGUAAGUCUCUUCUCUGAUCCUCAACGCAUGCAGAGAUGGUACUUUCCUUUGCACAGUAACCUGGAAAAUACCAUGUGGCUUGUCUUGCUUAGUGAAACAUUCGGGGGGAGACAGGGGCAAUUAAGGGUCUGGCUUUUUGGAGGUACCUUGAAUAUUUGAUUUAUUAGCUCUUGUUUCCCUUAUGUAUUGACUAUUUUAAACAUGAAUACAUAUGGAGCUAUG